UACGGAGGGUGCAAGCGUUAUCCGGAUUCACUGGGUUUAAAGGGAGCGUAGGAGGGCAGGUAAGUCAGUGGUGAAAUCCCCGUGCUUAACAUGGGAACUGCCGUUGAUACUAUCUGUCUUGAAUACCGUGGAGAUGAGCGGAAUAUGUCAUGUAGCGGUGAAAUGCUUAGAUAUGACAUAGAACACCGAUUGCGAAGGCAGCUCGUUACACGACUAUUGACUCUGAGGCUCGAAAGCGUGGGGAUCAAACAGG
rnacentral:rRNA from 1 species